UUUAUGUGAUUGAUCCUCUAAGUUCAGCUCAGUGGCUCCAUCUAGUGGACAAUCAGAGGAGCAGCAGCUUGUUCUGCCAGGAUUUAACUGAUAAUGAAGCAGAGAAGGAGAGCCAAUCAGAGCAGCUGAUAUUAACGAUGUCAAUAUUAAUGAUUAUAGUAAAUAGAUGAAUAACUGAAGUGUUUCCUCCUCAGAUGAAGGAAGAAGGUGAGUGAACUGAUCUGAACUCGGCAGCUUGGAGCAGAGAGAGGACAAGGAGGACGGAGUCUGUCCCUCUGAAUCCACUGAAAAGGAGGACGGAGUCUGUCCCUCUGAAUCCACUGAAAAGGACGGAGUCUGUCCCUCUGAAUCCACUGAAAAGGAGGACGGAGUCUGUCCCUCUGGAUCCUCUGUCAGACGCCAACAUGAGGACCAGGUCAAAGUUCAGAGGAAACCAGAACCAGAAUCAUCAUCAACAGAAUCAGAGGCAGAAUCUGGUUACAGCAGUUUGUCCUUCAGGUCAAAGGAUUUGAUUAUUGAUUUUAAAUCAGGCCAACUUUCAGCUGUAAGGAGUCCUGUAGGACCAGACUCUCCUUUAUCUGCCCAUAGUUAUCCAUCCUGUGGGAGCAACAGGUCAACAGACACCGACCUGGACUUUAAUAAUCAGCAUCCAACUCCACCUGAGAGUUAUAGAAGGACCUAUGAGGAGCUCCUCCAACACCAGCAGGAGGUGAUACGCCGCCAGGAGGUUCAACUACGCCGCCAGGAGNA